rnacentral:sRNA from 1 species
GCCAGGCAUGGUGGUACAUGCCUGUAAUCCCAGCAACUCAGGAGGCUGAGGUAGGAGAAUCACAUGUUCGAGGUCAGCCUCAGCAAUUUAGUGAGACUUUCAACAAUUUAGUGAGAGCUUAUGUCAA